rnacentral:rRNA from 1 species
GUGGGGAAUAUUGGUCAAUGGGCGAGAGCCUGAACCAGCCAAGUAGCGUGCAGGACGACGGCCCUAUGGGUUGUAAACUGCUUUUAUGCGGGGAUAAAGUUCACUACGUGUAGUGUUUUGUAGGUACCGCAUGAAUAAGGACCGGCUAAUUCCGUGCCAGCAGCCGCGGUAAUACGGAAGGUCCGGGCGUUAUCCGGAUUUAUUGGGUUUAAAGGGAGCGCAGGCCGGAGGUCAAGCGUGACGUGAAAUGUAGCCGCUCAACGGCUGAACUGCGUCGCGAACUGGCUUUCUUGAGUGAGUUCGAUGUGGGCGGAAUUCGUGGUGUAGCGGUGAAAUGCUUAGAUAUCACGAAGAACUCCGAUUGCGAAGGCAGCCCACAAGGCCUUUACUGACGCUAAAGCUCGAAGGUGCGGGUAUCGAACAGG